AUGGGGAUGGCCGAGUUGGUCUAAGGCGCCAGUUUAAGGUUUGGUCGCGUGGGUUUAAAUCCCACUCUCCACA
rnacentral:tRNA from 1 species